GAAAUGCGAUAAGUAGUGUGAAUUGCAGAAUUCAGUGAAUCAUCGAAUCUUUGAACGCACAUUGCGCCCCUUGGUAUUCCAUGGGGCAUGCCUGUUCGAGCGUCAUUUACACCCUCAAGCUCUGCUUGGUGUUGGGCGUCUGUCCCGCUUCGUGCGCGGACUCGCCCUAAAGGUAUUGGCAGCGGUCAUGCCAGCUUCUCGCGCAGCACAUUGCGCUUCUUGAGGCACCGGCGGACCAGCGUCCAUCAAGCCCACUUCCACAGUUUGACCUCGGAUCAGGUAGGGAUACCCGCUGAACUUAA
rnacentral:misc_RNA from 1 species